UACGUAGGGUGCAAGCGUUGUCCGGAAUUAUUGGGCGUAAAGAGCUCGUAGGCGGUCUGUUGCGUCGGCUGUGAAAACCCGGGGCUCAACUCCGGGCCUGCAGCCGAUACGGGCAGACUAGAGUUCGGCAGGGGAGACUGGAAUUCCUGGUGUAGCGGUGAAAUGCGCAGAUAUCAGGAGGAACACCGAUGGCAAAGGCAGGUCUCUGGGCAUUAACUGACGCUGAGGAGCGAAAGCAUGGGGAGCGAACAGG
rnacentral:rRNA from 1 species